AUUGAACGCUGGCGGCAUGCCUUACACAUGCAAGUCGAACGGCAGCACGGGUGCUUGCACCUGGUGGCGAGUGGCGAACGGGUGAGUAAUACAUCGGAACAUGUCCUGUAGUGGGGGAUAGCCCGGCGAAAGCCGGAUUAAUACCGCAUACGAUCUACGGAUGAAAGCGGGGGACCUUCGGGCCUCGCGCUAUAGGGUUGGCCGAUGGCUGAUUAGCUAGUUGGUGGGGUAAAGGCCUACCAAGGCGACGAUCAGUAGCUGGUCUGAGAGGACGACCAGCCACCGUGGGAGUGAGAACCGGCCCAGACCCCAAGGGGAGGCAGGGGGGGGGAAUUUGGGAAAAGGGGCGAAAGCCUGCUCCAGCAAUGCCGGGGGUGUGAAGAAGGCCUUCGGGUUGUAAAGCCUUUUUGUCCGGAAAAAAAUCCUUGGCCCUAAUACGGUCGGGGGAUGACGGUACCGGAAAAAUAAGCCCCGGCAAACUACGG
rnacentral:rRNA from 1 species